rnacentral:rRNA from 1 species
ACUCCUACGGGAGGCAGCAGUGGGGAAUAUUGCACAAUGGGGGAAACCCUGAUGCAGCCAUGCCGCGUGUGUGAAGAAGGCCUUCGGGUUGUAAAGCACUUUCAGUGGGGAGGAAAGGUUGAUGGUUAAUACCUAUCAGCUGUGACGUUACCCACAGAAGAAGCCCCGGCUAACUACGUGCCAGCAGCCGCGGUAACACGUAGGGGCAAGGCGUGUCCGGAUUAUUGGCGUAAAGAGCUCGUAGGUGGCUGAGUAAGUCGGAUGUUAAAUCUCCAGGCUCAACCUGGAACACCACCCGAUACUGCUCUGGCUAGAGUCCGGUAGGGGAGUGUGGAAUUCCUGGUGUAGCGGUGAAAUGCGCAGAUAUCAGGAGGAACACCAGCGGCGAAGGCGGCACUCUGGGCCGGUACUGACACUGAGGAGCGAAAGCAUGGGUAGCAAACAGGAUUAGAUACCCUGGUAGGCGUAGU